AACCGGGUUUAGGUUCCACCGAUCA
rnacentral:siRNA from 1 species